UCCAAAUACUUGGAACUUGGAUUAAUCAUGAACGAUUGAAUUAAACUGAAUGUUACAUGAUUUACUACGUCGAUAUGUUUGGUUUGUUAUGCUUUUUCUUUAAUUAAGGUUAACCUGAAUUAAGGUUAAGUAGCGCCACGCCCGGUAGAGAAUAUAAUGAUCUCGAUCGAUUGGACAUUCGAUAAUCGCUGGCUAUGAUUGCGAUUCUCGAAAUGAGAAGAAGAAACAAUGGCGUCGUUUCCAGUCACAUGUUUCGUAGUUAUUGUUCGAAAUUGUAAUUUCUUUUAACUUUGUGCGUGAAAUGUACACGAAUCGAGUAGAUUUAAGAACAGAGUGUUAUUAGAUGUAUACGAUUUGUGAUUAGUUUCAAAAACAAUUAUCUUUUAAAGAAAAGUUCAAUGAUAUGAUAUUAGAUUAAUUGCAAAGUGAUUAGGUGUUUCAAUUUUUGAAUAUGUAAAAAUAAGAAUAAUUUUAUCGACGUAGUAGAAAAUGAAAAAAAUUUCAUUGAAGGCCAUUCGUGCAACGUGAAAGAAGUGGAAAUAAAUCAUCUCUGGUAAUACAGGAAUAUAAUCGAGCAAAUUUAUCUCAAGUCGUUUUUUUUUUUUUUGCAGUGAUCAUAUCUAACGCUUAUACUAAUGUUUCAAAUGAUGUGUGAAUUGAAAUAUUCGAAAAAUGAAAAAAAAAAAAAAAAAAAAGUAAACAAAGUGUUUCAAUUUUUGAAGGUUGGCAAGAUCCAAGUGAUAAUCCAGUACUUCAGCAAGGCGUAACAAGUGUCUGUGUGACGUCACGCGGCUUUCUGGAGGCGGAGCCUGUGAUUGGGGGAGCAAGUGGGGGUGGGCUCUCCCGUAUCGUGGAUCGUUUGCCCCACCCUCGGGAUUUUGUUCCUUCGUACCACCGCUACUUUCAACCUCCUCCUUUUCUCUCCCUCGAUCUCUUUUCCUCUCUUUUGAAGUUUGUUCGGUGACCCCCCACCAAUCUGUACUCCACCAGGUAGGAAGCUGUUACCUGUGAUAGCCAUUGCAAAAUGCAAUCCAGGUGGAACUUAUAGAACUGUAUAUUUGAUAUAUUUUUCUGUAAACUGGCGCCAGACUGUUAAUAAAGGUGCAAGGUUUUCUUCUUAAGCGAAACUCGAUCUAAUUUUAUUGCUUAAUGAUAUCAUAGCGAUCCUUUACAACUUUUCUUAUUAAUUCACAAACUUCUUUCAAUUUUCCAGCUAAAAGAAAUCCAGAAUUCUUUUCUCAAGAAGAAAUUCCUCAACAAAUCUCAAUUCCUCGCGAAGCCGUUCAUCAUUUGAAAUUAUUGAGAAAAUCGUCAAUAUCCAACAAAGUCCAUCGAUGUUCCUUAAUUUCUUACCUUCGUUGGAAAGAUAAGAAUUUGAUGUCAAAUAGUUCGGAUGAGGACAAUAAAUUAUGGAACUAUACCGUGGAAAUUUAUCGUUUCUACCUCCCUGCACUUGCUAAACGGGAGUGAAAGCCCGAUGUGGUCCAGCUUUGAGGAGGACAUCAAAAGGAUAACAAUACAGAUGUGAGACAUACCCUUCCUAUUCCGUUCUCGUACGCUUUAUGUUGGGGAAAACGAGCUUUAAAGCAUCAGCUUUACCACUCGUUCCAACGGGAAAACGUAAAUUAAGAACAUCCGAACAGAACAUUAAAUGAAUUUAGUCUAAUUUGGAAAUGGAUCGUAUACGUAUUAAGUACAAUCAAUAACU